rnacentral:rRNA from 1 species
UCCAGACUCCUACGGGAGGCAGCAGUGGGGAAUAUUGCACAAUGGGGGGAACCCUGAUGCAGCGACGCCGCGUGGGUGAAGGAGCACCUCGGUGCGUAAAGCCCUAUCGGCAGGGAAGAAACAGACGGGACCUGACUAAGAAGCCCCGGCUAACUACGCGCCAGCAGCCGCGGGAAUACGUAGGGGGCAAGCCUUAUCCGGAUUCACUGGGUGUAAAGGGAGCGUAGACGGCGACGCAAGUCUGGAGUGAAAGCCCGGGGCCCAACCCCGGGACUGCUCUGGAAACUGUGUUGCUGGAGUGCAGGAGGGGUAAGCGGAAUUCCUAGUGUAGCGGUGAAAUGCGUAGAUAUUAGGAGGAACACCGGUGGCGAAGGCGGCUUACUGGACUGUAACUGACGUUGAGGCUCGAAGGCGUGGGGAGCAAACAGGAUUAGAUACCCCCGUA